rnacentral:lncRNA from 1 species
ACAGGUUUGGGACAGGGAGCAUACCUGGGGGGUGCAGCUGGAAAGCUUGGAGCUGCUACUGCACUUGGACAGGGUGGCUAUCCCCAAGGUGCUACAGGAAUGCCAAAUGGCUAUGGUGAGGGAGUGACGGGAUACCUGGGUGCUGUAGCAGGCAAUGGCUUUGGUGGAGAUGGUGGUGCCAAAGCUUCGUCUACAGGUUACGGGAAUGGGUACAGCGAUGGUUAUGGAGCUGCACUCAGUAAUGGUGGCUAUGCUGGACAGGCCCAGGGGGUGUAUGGAGCACUUGGUACAGGACUAGAAUCUACUGGUGGAAAAUAUGUAGGAGGAGCUGCUCAGGUUCCUUACGGUAAUGCUCCAGCAAUGCCCAUUGGACUGGAAGGUGAUGGUAGCUACCCGUAUUCUGCUCAGCAGCUAGGUCUUGGGGCUGAAGGUGCCAAAACCACAAACAAAUAUGGAGCUGGUGCCGGAUUUGGAGCUCAGCAAGCAGGUUAUGGAGCACAGUUAGGAGCGACUCAAGAUGUCUUGGGAGAGCAGGUUGGAAAAUAUGGAGGAGUUAAUGGUGCCCUUGGAAAUGGUUACAAAGGCUGAGUCAAAUGACCUGGACUUCUUCAAGUGGAUCAUUUGCAUAAUGUGUUCAGUGUAAUGAGGCUUUUCAUGUGUUUCGCUUCAUGUUGUCUUGGUGUGUUUUUUUAACCCUCUUGUCUUGUCUGUCAGUCUUACUCUUUUUAAAAAAAUGAUGGUGAACACAAAAAGAUGAGAAGUGAAAGGAGAUUGUUUCCUGUUUUAAUUGAAUAAAUUAUGUCAAAUGAUGCUGAAUAGAAGCUUCUGAAUCUGUUAUUUGAGUGCAUUGUACUCUUUAAUAGCAUGAGCAAAGCAUUGUGCUUACACAGGAAGUUUUACCACUUCCUUUCUCAUGUUUGGCAACACUGCUAAGACAAACGGAACAUAAGUAGUAAGAUGAAACACAAA